UUCCAGAGAGACGACGCAGCGGAAAAUAGAAUCGGAUGAGAACAAAUGUGAACGGUUGAAAAUCCUAACCGAGAAGAGAAGACAUGAGUUCGAGUGCGAACUCGUCGAGAUCGGGAUCUGACUCAAGGAAACCCUAGAAAUGUUAAAAUGACUCAAACGAACCGAUUAAUCGGUUCGAAGCAAAGGUUGAACGGUGGAAAUGAUAGAUCUAGGGUUGAAGAGGUGUUUAAUCGGUGAAAAUCGAAGGAAAGGAUGAACGAAGAUGUAAAACCUAGCGGAAUGUGUUUCGGUGAGCAAAAUGGAGAGGAGAAUGAUAUUGAAGAAGCGAUGAAGCUGACGGUGAGAAGGAUAUGGUUGAUGGCAGAGGAACCAGUGAAGAGAUGGCUCUCGAGAGCGUUUCUGAAAAUGUGGGAGAAUUGACGAGAGGAUGCAAUGAGGUUGCUGAUGUAGGCGAGGUGGCAGUAAAAGAAUGGGCCACCGUGGAAGAAUGACGUCGUAGAGGAGAGAGAAACUGGAAGCACAGUGAGAAAUUAAUGGAAAAUGAAAAUGAAGAUAGUGUGCUUUGGAAGGAGGCUAGAGGUCUUUGGACUCUCUAGCCAAUGACUUUCAAGAGAGAAUUAAUUCUGGAUUUCAGAAAUCUAAUUCUCAUUUAGUUCAAAAGUAUGUGUUAGCAUGCCUAUAUAUAGACUAAAUGUACCACAUGCCUAACACAUUGUACACAUCUCUAAUACAAGUAAAAGAAUUACUAAACUAAUGAAAUUGGGCUUGGGCCCCGCGUAUCAUCCCCUCCCCCUUGCAAAGGAUUUGUCCUCAAAUCUUGAUGGAUCUCAUGAGGACUUAUUUUUUAGUUGCCUCUUUAUAAACUCCUCCUGGGUCAAAGGUAAAUCUGCAAUAAGCAUAAAAAAUAACACUAAUUAGUUUUCUAUAACCGAAAGUAUAUAAAAGAGUAUUUUUAGAAGAAGAUUUCUUAAUUUUAAAAUUUUCAAUAUGAUGAUUAUAAAGAAACCAUUCUUCAUUUGAAAAUUUAUUUUUAUCUUGAGUUAGUGAUAACCAAAAAGGUAACUCUAACUCAAGAUUUUGAUUACCAUGUGGUAAAAAUUGUAAUUUUGGAAAAGAUGUCAUGGCAAUUUCUUGGAAAGAAAAGAUGUAUUUGGAACAUUUAAUUUCAAUUGAAGAAAUAUUAAAGAAUAGAAAACCUCCCCUUUUGGGUUCUAGAUUAGGAUAUGUUGUCAUCACUUUCUUUUCUUCCCUUUCCUUCCUUUCAAUUUUUUCCUUCUCUUUCUUUUGUAGUAGUCUCUCUUCCUGCUUUCUCUUUUCUUCCUCUUCUCUCUUUUCUUUCUCUCUUCUUAUUCUCUCUUCCUGCUCUCUCUUUUCUUCCUCUUCUCUCUUUUCUCUUUCUCUUCUUAUUCUCUCUUCCUGCUCUCUCUUUUCUUCUUCUCUCUUUUCUUUUCUUAUUCUCUCGUCCUGCUCUCUUCUGAAAAAUUGUUGUUGUUCUACCUUGAUGCAAAUUUUAACAAGAUCAUUUAAAUCUUUAUAAGGUAGUAAUUCAACCUCAUCCCUUAUGUCAAAAUUUAAUCCAUUUAAAAAUCUGGCUGAGGUAGUCUCUUCCCUCUCAACAAUUCCUGCCCUCAUUUGAUAUAACUCUAUCUUUUGCAUAUAUUCUUGCACAGUCAUAGAAUUUUGUUGCAACUUGUAGAGCCUAUCUAGGAGUUCUCUUUUACUUUGGAAGUCUAUAGUGUAAUUUUCCCUAGACCUCUCCCUAUUUCGAUCUUNUUCUUUUUUUAGCAUUUUCAACUCAUUGUGAAUGAUUAAGGUUUGUACCUCCCUAUGAAGCCUAUCUUGAUUCAUUAUUUUCCUAAAAAUAUGUUGCUGCUCAAAUUCUGUAAUCCUAUGACUAGACAUCCUAUAUUCUUUUACCUGACUCAAACAAUCAAAGAUAAUUAAAAAAACAUGCAAACUCUAAACGGACUCUAACGUGACAAAAGUCACACCUACACGUGAAACAAAAGAUCAAAUCAAUAUUAAAGUUUACUCCUAUGUCUAGCUAUGCAAAAAAGUAAAGCAAUUAAAGUUGCCAAGAUCUGGAAAGAGCACCAAGGACUCUUCCAAAUACUUGGAAUUUAUAAAAGGCCCUUUAAAAACCAGAAAAUAAAACUAACAAAGACAUUGGGCUAACACAAGCCCAUCAAAUACACAGAAAAAUAAAAAAAAUUACAAAACAUUCAAUCCUAAGCUACGGUCCAAUGAAGCUAUAACCCGCUGGUGGUACUCUGCUGUACAGCCACUGAUGCUACGGUCCAACUAUUUUGUGCCCAAAUCUUGCCCAAUGCUUUCCAGAAUCUCGUGCUCAAUCUUGCAGCUUCAAUCUGUUGCUGUUGGAUAUCCUGCAAUCACACCUGCACACAAUUGUUGUGAGAAUUCACUUAAUUAAAACAAAUGGCAGACAAAGAUAUAGGGUAAUAAACUUCCCUUUCUCGGUCUUUUGCCUUGAUGCAGCUAAAAGAAUUGCUUCUGCUCUCUUUGAAUGGUCUCAAACUAAAUUUCAACAAAUCAAUCUGCACUUAAAGUGACAGCAUCAUCCAACUAACGCAAAGGAAAAUGUAAAUCAUGCCAUAUUUAUGGUGCAGAUUAAACUACCAAACCAGUCAGUUUUUCAAUUCAGAAAUGAUUCUUAAGUCAUGAAAUCAGUUUUGAUCCAAACAGCAAAUACUUAAUUAUUUCAUGCACAGCUAACACAGCGAACUAGGUGGCAUGCAAUGGUAUUCAAUCAAUCAAUUUGACAAAACUGAAAUCUGCUUAACAACCAGCUCAAACUAAUUAUCCCAACAAUUCAUCUCUACACACAGAUCACACCUAAGCCAACAGCACAUACACAAGGAACACGUACCUUUAACCAGAUGCAAAUGAAUGUGAUUCAAGGUUGAAACCAAAUUAAUGCCAUACAAUGCAGAACAGAUUCAAUUCAGAAUUCAAGUUGGCUAAUCCUAGUCUGCAACAAAUAUCAUAUCAGAUUCCACACUUCAAGAAAUGCUAAACAAUGGCAGCUACAACAGGACUAAUUCAACCAAAAACAGAAACAAUUUAAGAUAAAAGACUCCCUUUAGUUCAACACUUCCACGUGAAGUGUUUCUGCCUCUGUUGGCUUAAGCUAGCAUCUGUUGAUGUUCCAAACUGAUCCCAGUGAGGGUUCUGGUAUACUCAUUAGUGUUACUGCAGCAAGUGUUUGUGACUCCUCUUUAUCCAACAUGAGAUUUCUGGCUCAACUUUUUACACUGCUGUAGCUAAUUGUAACUCACUUCUACUAAGCACCACCUGUAAAUGACAAUCAAAGCCAAAACUAUGCAAUUCUAGUUGGUCAGCAAAAUUCAGAUUCAAGAAAUUGAAUAAAACACGCUCUCAACAAAGAUAUUUGACUUUAAUUGCAGCCACACAAAGCUCACAACAACAAGUUCAACUCUGGAAGCUCAAAGCACUCAAAAUAGAAAGGUUUGGAAGGGAGAUUCCCCUUUGUUAGUUCAGGGCUGGAGAGUCUUUUAGACCACCACCACCUAAGAUGCUACCAAGCACACAAACCCCUUUCCAAAUUCCAAAAACCAAAGAGUGAACAUGCUUCUCAAACCAGAUUGGCUAUGCUAAGUAAAGGCAGGCAAUACAGAACAGGACAACAAUCCAAUUCAAGAGGCUCUAGAUCAGACUUUAGAUUAGAUCAUAAAGCAAAGAAAAGCUUCAAUUAUGAACAGUAGAACAGACUUACACGUGUAUUGGACAAAACCAAGAUAGCCAAACAAUUGACAAGCAAACAAAAAUCAAAGCUAUCAAGAAAAUAAGCACAGCAAAUAGAACCUAAAGAAUAGCACUAGAACAGAUUUUAAAGACAAGAAAAGACACAACAAGAAAUCACAGAACUGGUUGUUGAAAUCAGAAUUUCAAAAGCAAAAAGUGAACUGGUCCAUUAGCUAAUGUUAGCAUUUUCAAUUCUGGACACCUUUGCAUACUGAAAUCCAAUGGAGCAAGUUUAUUUAUGCUUGUUUUGAUCACGCAAGGCCAUUUUACACUCUUUCAUAGGCUUUUACUCAAAUUCAAAUAUUCAGUUCCUCAUUUUUCUUUUCAGGAUUUGCCUCUUUUGACUGAUUUUCUCAACUAACAUGCUUUUAUUUCAUCUUGGAUCAAACAACGAUUUACAAAUGUUUAAACAACUUAGUUCUGCAGUUUAGAAGAAAAAACAAAAGAAAUUGGUUUGCAAUGACUCUAGGAUAUUGAUUAAACAAAAGCUUAGUAAUGAACUAAUACCAAGCAGAAGCGACACACACUAAAAGACAUUCAAAGAAGUACCAGUUCGGUGUAGCUGGCCAAACAAAAUUCUGCAGAUUUACAAUGUGCAACCAAGCUAGGCUAAACCCUUCAUUGCUUAUUUGGUAUGCAUUUGCUACUCACAAAGCAGAAUUUAAUUCAAAUAUUCCAGACUCGAAUUAUUCAGAAUUGAAACUGCAUGUAAUUAUGCACAGUGAAGCAGAUUCAAAUAGCAAUGCAACUUAUAACUUCUGCCACUGAAAUCUACCACCAAGCUCAUUCAACCGAAUGUCAUAGCUUGUAUNAUUUGCUACUCACAAAGCAGAAUUUAAUUCAAAUAUUCCAGACUCGAAUUAUUCAGAAUUGAAACUGCAUGUAAUUAUGCACAGUGAAGCAGAUUCAAAUAGCAAUGCAACUUAUAACUUCUGCCACUGAAAUCUACCACCAAGCUCAUUCAACCGAAUGUCAUAGCUUGUAUCGACGAAUCGAAUUUACUCAGUGCAGUUUUCAAAGACUUGUUCUGGAAUUAAAACUGAAACAAUGCUUAGAAUGACAAUACACACACUGAAAUCAAUAUUGAUACAUCCUUAGCAAUCUGUCAUCGAAGCUCAUUUUAACAAUUUCAUAGCUUCUUUUGAUGUACAGAAUUUACACCAAAGCGUACUUCAAUUUUUAUCUCACGAAAGAAAUAACAAGAAAAACAAAGCACUGAUUAAAAGAAANAAUGCACAUGACAUAUAACAUAACAGAAAAUGAUUUCAAAACUUAAAAGACUCAAAUAAAUUGGAAUCACCGAAUUAAGAUGAAAAUAAGACUCAAGACGCAAGGCACAGAACAAAUACAUCUACACAAUAUUGGAACCUAAACGCAGAAAAGCAAAGAACACAGACACUGAAUCAAAACUCAACAAGACAAUGAANGAAAAUGAUGAACAACGCGAGAAUGAUAAAAAAAAUAACACGACUCAGAAUCAAAUGAAACACGACAAAACGCGAAUCAAAGACAAUGACUGAAAUAGAAACACGAAUCAACACAGAACAGAGAAGAACAAGACANAAUCGAAAAUCAGAGAAGCAAUAUACUUAGCUUUGAAGCGUGCCUAACCCGAGGAAGAGAACCUUCGCUCUGAUUACCACUUGAUACGAGAAGCCUUGAGGAAGAGGACCGACAGGUACAAUGCAGACACGCUUGAAGUCCUCGAGGCUUCUUCCAGAGAGACGACGCAGCGGAAAAUAGAAUCGGAUGAGAACAAAUGUGAACGGUUGAAAAUCCUAACCGAGAAGAGAAGACAUGAGUUUGAGUGCGAACUCGUUGAGAUCGGGAUCUGACUCAAGGAAACCCUAGAAAUGGUAAAAUGACUCAAACGAACCGAUUAAUCGGUUCGAAGCAAAGGUUGAAUGGUGGAAAUGAUAGAUCUAGGGUUGAAGAGGUGUUUAAUCGGUGAAAAUCGAAGGAAAGGAUGAACGAAGAUGUAAAACCUAGCGGAAUG
rnacentral:lncRNA from 1 species